rnacentral:rRNA from 1 species
GCUGGCGGCACGCCUAACACAUGCAAGUCGAACGAAGUAGCAAUACUUAGUGGCAGACGGGUGAGUAACAUGUGGGUAUCUUCCCUAUGGCCUGGAAUAACACGAGGAAACUUGUGCUAAUACUGGAUAAGUCUUUACGGAGAAAGCUUUAUGCACCAUUGGAUGAGCCCGCACUUGAUUAGUUUGUUGGUGGGGUAAUGGCCUACCAAGACAAUGAUCAAUAGCUGAUUUGAGAGGAUGAUCAGCCACAUUGGGACUGAGACACGGCCCAAACUCCUACGGGAGGCAGCAGUGGGGAAUCUUGCACAAUGGAGGAAACUCUGAUGCAGCGAUGCCGCGUGAGUGAAGAAGGCCCUUGGGUUGUAAAGCUCUUUCGUCGGGGAAGAAAAUGACUGUACCCGAAUAAGAAGGUCCGGCUAACUUCGUGCCAGCAGCCGCGGUAAUACGAAGGGACCUAGCGUAGUUCGGAAUUACUGGGCUUAAAGAGUUCGUAGGUGGUUAAAAAAGUUGGUGGUGAAAUCCCAGAGCUUAACUCUGGAACUGCCAUCAAAACUUUUUAGCUAGAGUAUGAUAGAGGAAAGCAGAAUUUCUAGUGUAGAGGUGAAAUUCGUAGAUAUUAGAAAGAAUACCAAUUGCGAAGGCAGCUUUCUGGAUCAUUACUGACACUGAGGAACGAAAGCAUGGGUAGCGAAGAGGAUUAGAUACCCUCGUAGUCCAUGCUGUAAACGAUGUGUGUUAGACGUUGGAAAUUUAUUUUCAGUGUCGCAGCGAAAGCAAUAAACACACCGCCUGGGGAGUACG